CCUCUAGCGGCCGCACAACGAUGUUGGAGAUCUUUUCCUUCUCAAGACCGGCGCCCUCCUCUAUCUCCCUGCCCGCCAUGUAUCUCCCUGCUUGAGUUUCACCCUAUACAUGCUUCUUUUCUCAAGGGUCCUUCGCAGCCGAGGUUUGGGGAUACCUACUGGCCGCACCUUUCUAGAUCUCGGUGAGAGGCGUGAGGCGGCCGUUUGGUGCCUGCUGUCUGGGAGCUUGGAAAUCGCGACGCCGGUGGAGAUAUGCAGGUGGGUCGUCCUCGACGUGCCCCUGCAUGGCUCUGGCCUCCGACCAGGAAGGGAGGAUCCCGCUCCAGUCUUCUCGGUCUGAGGAAACAACUAAAGAAAAUUGUAAGUUUGUAGUUCUACACAAGAGGAUUCGAGUAGGAAGUGAUAUAAAUCAUUGUUUUAUGCCUUCAGUCACGACAAUUGGGUUACUUUCCAAAGCUGGUUACAAAUCAGGUUGUUUAGAAUUUUAGCUCCCGAAUGAAGUCAUAUACUCCGCUGAAACAUCUCGGUUUACUGAAUCAUGCACUUUCUAUUUGUGGAUGUCAAGACUUUGAUAUGGUGCUUUAAUGCCAAUGGAGGACCCAGAGAUUCCCCCUCCCGACAACUACUUGGGAACCUAAGAGAGUAGCAAUGCGAACAACCUUGGUGAAAAAUUUCUCAUCUCGAGGGUCUCAACGGAAUUCUGUUGUGCGUGUCUCGCGGAUCUGGGAAAACAAGGAUCAAGCACAAAAAUGGGUAUGAGUUGGGAUUCAUUGUCAUUGACCAACCGGUGCUUCCCGGACAUUCAAACACUUGAAUACUUGAUCCAGCUCGCCUACAAAAGAAUCCAUGCAGUUAGUUUGAUCUACUCACUAAUUAUCUAUCGAUGUUUACUCUGGUUUUUCUGCAAUGUACCCAACCAGAUUUACCUUUUAGUGUAUUCAUCGUCAUUUGUUAACUGAAUAUCAGAAUCUUGAUUCGGCUAAUAUCAUCUGCACCCAACCAGCUUUACUCUUCAA